rnacentral:misc_RNA from 1 species
CUUACCCCUAACCUAAACUUUGCACUUUUUACACUUCAGGAUUGAAGCUAAGUUUCAUUGCAAUCCACGAAUGGAAUUUGCUGUUGUUAGCACUAUCUAAUUUCAACGCCACGUUGACAAUUUUUAUGACUUUUUGUGAUCUAAAUGCAAAAGGCUGAAAGUACAUGUCUUGAAUUGCCAACAAAAAAAGUUUAAGCCCUAGACACUAAAAGCAUAAAAAUUUCAAAAGUACAUAAAAAAAGAAAUAAGAAAGAGAUGAAGAGAGAAAAAUAAAAAUAAAAAUUGGAAAGAGAUGGAGGCAUGGAAAAG